ACCACUGCCAAUCUACCCACCGCUGCCAAUCUACCCACCGCUGCCAAUCUACCCGCCGCUGCCAAUCUACCUACCACUGCCAACCUAUCUAUCACUGCUAAUCUAUCGCUGCUAAUCUAUCGCUGCUAAUCUAUCGCCACCAACCUACCUAUCGCUGCCAACCUACCUACCGCUGCCAACCUAUCUAUCACUGCUAAUCUAUCACUGCUAAUCUAUCGCUGCUAAUCUAUCGCCACCAACCUACCUAUCGCUGCCAACCUACCUACCGCUGCCAACCUAUCUAUCACUGCUAAUCUAUCACUGCUAAUCUAUCGCUGCCAACCUACCUACCGCUGCCAACCUACCUACCGCUGCCAACCUAUCUAUCACUGCUAAUCUAUCGCUGCUAAUCUAUCGCUGCUAAUCUAUCGCUGCUAAUCUAUCGCUGCUAAUCUAUCACUGCUAAUCUAUCGCUGCUAAUCUAUCGCUGCUAAUCUAUCGCUGCUAAUCUAUCGCCGCCAACCUACCUACCGCUGCCAACCUGCCAACCUAUCUAUCGCUGCCAACCUAUAUAGGGUAAAUCAUGGUCCCAUUUGGUCCCAUUUUGUAAAAUGGGACCAAAUGGGACCAGGAUCACUAAUUUAUUAGUAAAACAUGAUCUGGGACUAGAUUUAUAAUAUAAACAGUGUAAAGUGACUAAUUUGCUAAACACUAUAUGGGACCAGGACUAAGAUAUCUAAUAAUGGGACUGAGGAAAAAUUUGGUCCCAGUCCCAUGCAUGGUCACACAGCCAGUCUAAGCCAGCCAGAUUAUAUAGAAGGAGAAGGGAAUUACAAUCAGCUGAAGAAGUGGAAACAACAAUCUGAUUGAUAGAUUGCUUGAUUUGUCUGAUUUACUUGAUUUGAUUGUUUGAUUUGAUUUUGCAAUUUCAUGUAUAAUAGGAUUUCUAGAUAGAUAGAUAGAUAUCUGUACAGCUACUAGUCUGAGGGGAGGUGUUGGCCUUAGGCUGCCUAUCACGGACUAGCGCACCGCACAUAUAUGCCUCAGCUGCCUACAUGCUAAUACAACCACUUAGACGUCCCACAAUUUAUAAUAUAAACAGUGUAAAGUGACUAAUUUACUAAACACUAUAUGGGACCAGGACUAAGAUAUCUAAUAAUAGGACUGAGAAAAAAUUUGGUCCCAGUCCCAUGCAUGAUCACACGGCCAGUCUAGUUGCAUCUCCACCAGAUGAGGGAGGAUGUGGUUCCCCACUAUGCUGCAGCUGAUGGUUGCAGUAUAUAGAUGGUGGAUUGGGUGGCCACACCCGCUGUGAGCCGAGCCACACCACCACACCCACGGGUAUAUAUAUCACUAUGAGCGCAACCAUUUAACAAAUGGUUACGUUGGCUUUUUGCUAUGGAUAACCUAGUGGUCAUAGUGCUAUCUUAUCACAGAGGGAUUAAGUAUGAGAUGUAUGCAUAUGGUAAUUGGAUACAAUGGCAUAGUGGGAGGUUAAACUGGAAUUUUUUGUUUCUGUUUCUGUUUCUGUUUCUUUUGUUUUUUCCUUUUCUCGUCUUUCCAUAUAUCAUCGAUGAACUUUGAUUUGAUUUUGCAAUCUGCGUUCUGGCAAAUAUCACAUAAUCUCCAUUUGCCAUUUUCCUAUCUACAGCUAUCAACACAUGCUCCCCUGACCACGGGGAUCCCCGUCAUUUCUUUGAAAAACGUCAUUUCCUUCCUCCGAGUUUUUUUCGUCUCUUGUCCACUAACUUUUCUUAUUUCAUUUUGAGUUUUCGGUUGUCGAACCGAGUCCAUGGACAUUAUGUAACGCCCCAUGUUUAGCUUUCAUCUAGGUAUAUACAUCCAUAUAUAUUUUCCUGACCUCUCACUUUUUUAGCCCUCCCGCCCUAUCGAACAGCCAUAUGUAUUGUGCAUGUGUAAAGGUCGUGUCCUAUUGAAUGAAUCACUGGGGCCCAAGGACAUCAAGCGUGUUAUUUAUGCGUCGACAUCGGAUCUAUCAAUUUCUGCAUUUCCUCCUCUCCUUGCGCUGCGCGUAGUUGCCAUCCGUGUUCUUUCUAAUGCGCUGGAGCCAUUCGAUUUUCGAAGAAGUCCAUAAAUAACGACGGCGGAAUGGCUUCACAUAUAAUCCCAUUUCUUGGCCAGAGCGAUGGACAUAUCAUUUAUUCCGGUGAUGCCCAUUUGUCAAGCCGCAUUCCAGAGAACAGCAUACUGUCUCCGGAGCCCUUUAACUAUAAUAGCCGCAAUUGUGAUGUAACAGACGUAACUAAGCCCGGAAAUCCCUAUCGAAUCACCGACCCCUUCCAUACCCCGGCUGCUGAAACCCAAGAGGAAGCGGGGGCGGUGUAGCACCAGGCGGACCUGCUGCAGACGGGGUUGGACCAAAGCCGGCUGGUGGCGGCUGCUGACCGAAGCGGGGAGGGGGAACAAAUCCCUGCGGUGGGGGACCGCCAUAUCCCGCUUGAGAUGGAGGAGGCCUGGCAGGCAGACCUGGAGGGGGAGCGGAAAGGGGUGGAGGUGGAUGAUGCGCAUGGGGCAGUGGUCGGUGGUGUUGAAGUGGAUGUUGGGGUGGGUGAGGAUGGGGAUGGGGAUGUUGUUGUUGGUGUUGUGCUGGUGGCAUUUGCUGAUUGUGAUGGUAGCCGCCGCCGUUGCCGAUGGGGAUUCCCCGCCCACCGCCAAAAUCUGGUGGACCACCAGCAGCGGCAACAGGGUUUAUUCCUCGAGCAGCGGCAACCGCAUUAGUGCCCUCGCCGUCAACCAUUGGCGGUUGGGGCAUUUGAUGCGGAUGCACGCCUGGCCCGCCUCCGACAAGUUGCGGAGGCAAGGGCUGUGCUUGGGGCUGCACGUUGUGUUUUCGCGCCUGGGCUGCGAGCAUGCGUUCGGCCUGGUCGCCAUGUCGUUCACCCUUACCAUCCUUUUUGUACGCGUAUUGGACAGAGACUUCCUUGUUCAUGAGGUAUUGGCCAUUCAUAUUUGCGAUGGCGUCGUCCGAGGCUUCGAAGUUGGAGAAGGAGACGAAGCCGUAACCCUUAGAAAGGUUCGCAUCAUCUCGUGCAAUCUAACACCGUGACUCUUAGUUUACUUAAAUAAAUGAGCGGCAGCCGGAAUAAUGCAGGUAACAUACCUUUGGAGCAGAUAUAAGACUCCCGAAGCGGCUGAACGUAUCAUACAACACCUGUUCUGUAACCAUUGGGUCA
rnacentral:sRNA from 2 species